rnacentral:rRNA from 1 species
GGGUCAGUAGGUUGGUCGUGCCACCGGUACGUACUGGUCUCACUGAUUCCUCCUUCCUGAAGAACCGUAAUGCCAUUAAUUUGGUGUUGCGGGGAAACAGGACUGUUACUUUGAAAAAAUUAGAGUGUUUAAAGCAAGCUAACGCUUGAAUACAUUAGCAUGGAAUAAUGAAAUAGGACGAUCGAUCCUAUUUUGUUGGCUUCUAGGAUUGACGUA